AUUUAGGAGGCGCAGAUGCUUACAUCGGUCGGAACCCAGGACCACACAGCGGUGGGGACGCCAGGUGGCGCUUGCUAAGGGGCUGGCCCGACUGUGGCUAGGUAGUGACAGCGCGUGGGAAGCCGGAGACUGGAAAAGGGAGAAGAGGAAAAGUACCGGCAAGAGGACGCUGACCCGCAGGGACUAGGACCUGCGAGGGAUAACGUCAGUGGGGCGAGACGGGAUCCCCAGACCGGCGACCCGGCAGAAGUGCGUGGCCCACGAGUGGCGCCCCGGCGGGAAGUACCCACGACUGGACCCUGUGCCCCCCAGAGCCGACCCUGCCACCAGCGCCUGCUCCUUGGUCUUCACCCUCAGCGACCUACAGUUCCAUUAAUGAUGGUCUCUACCAGAGAGCCUUUAAGUAUUGAAGACAUGCGCAACUUCCCCAGGGGCUCCGGGGAGUGUGGGGAAGAUGUUCCAUGAGCCCAGGAAAGUCUUCCUGGACCCGACCACUCAGGCUCUUCUUGAGGCCCUUCGGAGCUGCUCCAGUGGAAUCUGGGAGUUAUAAACAACGAGUUUCACACCGAGACUGCCACUUGUAACUGUUAUGUCAUGCACAGGUCACUUAAAGGUUCCAACGGCUUUCUCCUUUGCAAUGUUGAGAUUUAUUGCUUAAACGUGGAAGAAAUGCAUAGUGUAUGUGGGAGCCACAUUUCCCAUCUUUAUGCCUAGCUCUUCUUGUGCCUGGCAGUUUCUAGAGUGCAGCUCCAAAGAUGUUUUGGGUCAAUUAAGGACGACUGUGCAUUUAAGAAAUUUUUUCCCAGCACAGCAUGGUGUCACACCUCUGUAACCCACACUGGGACCUAAAGCAGGAAGACUGUAGAUUGGAGUCCACUCAUGUAUCCUGGUGAGGCUAUAGGUUAGAAUAAUACAUACUGGAAAAAAAGGACUGGGCACGAAGCUCAGUUGGAAGGCCCUGUGUUCAAUCCCCAGGACCACAGAAAAUAUUUUCCUAAAUUGUGACUGAAAACUGAUUAUGGGAUGUCUGAUUUGUUCUAACUUCAAGUUUGCUGAGACUAGUAGUUCUCCCACUGUCUCUUAUCUCGCUGUACUAAAUAGAUGUUUCCAAAUUAUCCUAGAAGGAGAAGAGCUAAAGGAAAGAUGCUAACAGAAGAAAAUGAACAAUGAGAAUUAAAAAAAAAACUCAAAUUAGGUUGGGAAAGUUUUUUGUUCUGGCUAAAAACUUGAAAUAAAAUAAAAAGCCCAGAACUGUGGACAGUUAGUGUUUCCAACAAUGCGAGACUGAACCUGAGGCUGAGAACCUUCAGGUAGGCAAACCAAAUCUCACUUCUAAAACAGAUUUUGCAGAGGGAAGAGAUUCAACCAGAACUGAAGUAGCCGUUGUGGGUACUUUCUACCGCUAAGGAGAAUCAGAACAUGCUGCAGACAUUACAGAAAUAAAAUAAUCCCAGAGGCUGCUAGGGACUGGGAAGUACUUCCAGGUUCUACAGCAGAAAUAUUCCUGAAGCAACAAUUGAGUUAGGCAGGCAGCCAGCUGGGAGAGAAAAACAGUACACUCGAGGAAGACCCAGGCUUGGGAGCCCACGACUGCAGUUCAGAUGAGUUCUGCCUUCCCAUUGGGAGAAAUCCAUCAGUAGAGGUCCUAAAAAAGGUGUUCUAGAAACUGAAGGCUUCUCAAAAUGUGUUAGAAAACCAGAGUACCAGUUGAAGCAGGUCUUCGAACCAGGCUUGGAUGGUGCUCAAAAGAAUAGGAUGAUUCAAAAAACACACUGUGCCCUCUGCUAGGUCCUGAAUCAAGAAUAAACCCAAACUGAAUAUACUGAAUUUUCUCAUCACUUUUUCUACUUACCAUUCUUGUGUAUCUUACUUACACCACUGUUUAGUUUUAACACAGAAAUUAUAGCUCAAGAUAGCAUGUAGUUCCCUUCACCUGAGUAUCCAAUUCAUGAGCUGAACAGACAGAACUCAGAAAGCCUGGUAUCUGCGACCAACUUCACAUUCUCGCCUCUGGGGACGUAACCUUCUAGGGAGGCUGAAGGACUCGGACAUUGGUGAAGACUUUGGGCUUUGCCAGCUCCUGCCCGAACAUACACCACUGUCCCAAAUAAUCUAACUCCGGAGCCAGAAAUUCAUCUGGUCACAGUAUCUCUUAUUUCUUCGUCACAGAGCUUGCCGCACAGGAACGCGAACUUACCUGGUAAGGUACUGGAAAUCCCUAGCCCCACAUGAGCAGCGAGCUGACCAACUAAAAUAUCAAUCUGCAUUUUGCCUGCUUUGCUAUAAGAAAUUACCAAGGGAGAUGAUGUUACAGAAAUUGAGGGAGGUAACAACUCUGUAACCCUUGAAUGAUAAGAAGAAGCCUACAGAGCAAACAGCUGGGCAGGAAAACAUUCCAGACAGAGUCAAUCAAAACACAUACACAUGUGGAAAAGGUCUGAAAACAGACUAAGUGUGUUAAGUUCACAGAGCAGAAAGCUACAAGUAGCCAAAGCAGAGGUGGGGAGCCGUCAGAGUGUCAGCAGAGGAGCGGAAGGCGGAACUGAGAAAGGACAGACAGACAAGGAACAAACAUGCUGUUGGCCCCACAUCUGGGCGAACAGUAGUACCACUGCUCAAAGGGGAAAGAAGCGACUACAGAACAAGGAAAGACUCAGAGAUUUAAGUUGAAGCGUUCCCUUUUAAGGAGGUAGACAGAACAUAUGCUUUCAGGUAUGAACUGUUAUUAAAAGGUAUUUCAGACACACAAAAACAUAAAAAGCUACAACCCAU